UCGGGGGCGGUGCGCGCGGCGGCGCGGCGCGGGAAGCGGUUUGUAAUCCUUAAAGCGGCCGCGCGGCUGGAGCGGGGAGCGGCGCGGGCUGAGCAUGUUGAAGCUCUGAGCUGUAAGGAGGGAGGCUCCAGGAGCACUCAGGAAUUCAUGUCCCUGCAGAGUCUGAGUAACAGAUAUCCCUAUGCUGGACCAUUUUAUUUUUUCCAAGCUCAGAAUUACCAGGUUUUUAGAUACUGACCAGUCAGCCUGACACUCAGCUUCGCACCAGGAAGAAAGGCCCCCAAGCAGGGCAGCACGUGAGCGGCUGGUGCAGCCUGACCAUCUGCAGCGGAACUGAGCUGCCAUGUCUCCGCUUGCAUAAGUUAAGUUGUUGAUGGUGAGAUAAGUCAUUGCAAUCCACAAAGUGCUGGUGUUUAGUACACAGUAUUCAUAUUUUAUGAAUGUUAACAAGCAAGAAGCCCUGCACAACUGAGCAGUUACGAGCUCAAAAGGCUUUGUGAGAUAUUUUCUCUAAGGGCUCAUUAAUGUGGUCUUUUAAUGGAGUACUUGCAUAUCUGAAUCUUUAACUGUAGCUAUAAAUAGGGUUUAUAAGCACUUGACAGUGUGUGGCAAAGCUGUGUUAGCAGUGUUUGCCCUGCUUUUUUGCAAGUUUCAUUUGCAAAGGAUAUAUAAGAGCUGGAAUUUAAACGUUUUCUAAAAUGCAAACAUGUAUACCUCCUAAUGGCGCUGCAUUCUGGAUAACAUUUUUACUGGCUUUAAUGCAUUUGUCAUGUUCCUUCAAAUUAACCAAGCAUCACAUCACAACAAAACAGCAAGCAUUUACAUGCUAUUGAAGGGAAAAUUAGGACAUAAAGAGGUCAAGCUACAACCCAAAUGUCCCACAGCAAGCCAACAGAAGAGCAGAAUCAGGAACCGAUGAACUCUAAUGACCUGCCCUAAUCAUCAAACCAUAGGGAGGAUCUACCUUUAUUUUCACUGGUGCUGAAACAGAAUAAUGCCCAGCGUGUAAACCUGCUCACCUUGCACUGACUGAUGCUGCCAAUGGUUGAAUUUUCCCCUCCACGACAGGUUCCCCUUGCCCUCUGAGAUGUCCAUGCUGUGUGGACCAGGUUGCUUUUUCCCCUCUUGGUGAUCUCCAACCACAUAUUCAGUUCACCAGCCAACAGGCUGCAACCUUAAAUAAACUUCUGCCAGCCCCGGUGAGGAACCAAUAGGAUGACAUAGCUCAGUGUACUACAUAGGAGUGCUGUUCUAUGAUGAUACAGUAAAAGCUGCAGGAGGAUCACAGCCUUUAGUAAAUCAUGGUAUUGUAUUAUCCAUAACAUUGCCAUCUCUAUGCACUGUAGGACGUCUGACAGCUGCCUGCCCUUAUGGGGUACCCACAGACACCAUGGCAGUACUCUGGAACCCUUUGCAGACACUGUCGCAAGUCAAGUGUGACAGAUCUGAAGGACUAGUUCCCAAAAUGCUGGUGACUUUCAGCUUCUACCAUGGCUUAAAGAGUCUGCAAGGUGAAGUCUUGAUGGCCUUAUGGGAGGAACCCAGAGAGACAGAGCAAUUUGCGGCUGGACUUAAUGAUCUCAAAGGUCUUUUCCAACCUGAGCAAUUCUAUGAUUCUAUGAUUCUAACCUUCCUCUGACUUUCCACCACGCCUUUCCUACACAGUGUGUGCAUGGCGUACUACUUCUCCAGCAACGCAAUGGGAACUGCAGCCCAGAUGUGUCUAGAAAGAGAAACGUGGCUCUUGUAACCUCACUGGGAGAAGCACUCCUAUCUACCUCCAGCACUCAGUCACGUCGCACAUCUAUUCGACCAUAAUUACGUGUGUUUGCUGAGAUGUGGGUUGUGAACACAUUGACAAAAUCCCUUUAAGAUGAUCGCAGGGGAUGUGUUGUCCUCUCUGGCUGACAUCCAUUAUAGGCCAUUAUUUGGAUUUUACGCUAGUAAUUCUGAGUGCUUCCAUUUUUGGUUCAUCUCUGAUGUGACUGCAAUUGAGUUUUCCGCAUGCAUUCAUCCUGAAUUUAUUUUAACUGUGCUCAGUGUUUGGAAGGUAAGUGAAGAUGCUAUUAGCUACCAGUCUGCGUCUAUGAAUGAUCACUUAUUACUUUCUCAAUGGUUUGGUUCAGAUGUGUGAGAGAAUACGUUAGCCUCUAAUGAGACUAUCAUGGGCUGAGUUGUCGGAGGGAGCCUGUUGUCACAUGGUUACUUUUAUCUGGAGGGAAAAAGAAAAAAUCAACCAGAAUAAUUCAUAGCUCUAAAAUGCUGAUUUUUUCUGAGCAUGUAUCAGACGUUUUAACACCAUUAAACUAUUGUAAACCAAAACAUGAUUAAAUAUUUAAGCAGUAUUCUCUUUCUCAUGCAGGGAUAAGUAUCUAUUUAUCUCAAAUCAUGAUUUUAUGCGCUCACUGUUUUUCAGCACUGUGCCAUCUGAUGGAAGGAGCACAGUCUCAGUGUCUCCCAGAAGAGCGCGGGUGGCUCUGAGGAGAACCCCAGAGCAGGAGAUUUCACUGUCAUGUCCUUCCAUUGCAGCAGGGAGAGCACAGUAGGAGUUUUGCCUCCUUUCAGACACCUGUGCUCACCUACCACAGGCAUAAGCAUUUUCCUUCACUCCUCCAUUAAUCUGCAUUGUCCUUUUUCUUCCCCACCACCCACCUCCCUUGACUUGCCCCUCUACGCUUGGCUGCCCAUCUCUCCCCAUGCACUACCGGUCUCUUCUUUCUUCUCCCAGAACAUUUCCUCCUUUUCUCACUAGCUUUUUUCACAUUUCUUUCAGGAGAGCAAAACCUCUCUGUCCAUCAGCCCUUUAAAGCUGAGCACUUCCCCCUGCCCUCACACUCUGCCCCUGCAAUUCUUUCCUGCAGAUCUUGCUCCAUUUUCCCUGCCUGCAGUGGGCCCUGUCCCUGCCCAGGGGCCCUUUAGAGCAGGCAUUGGUGUGAGCAGAUCACCACGGGGAGAAGAAGAGGAGACCUCCUGCAACCAGAUGAGUGCCAAUUACCAGGCGAGUGCUUCAUUCCUCUGGCCUCGCAGUGGCCUGACAGGCAGAUCACUUGCUGAAAAGUAAUUUUCUGGGAGAUUCUAGCCCAGCUGCGCGUCAGCUUGCCUCCAUCCCCUUGGUACACUCCUGGGACCAGACUGGCCUCCAGGAGUGGGCUCACAGCCAUGCCCAGACAUUGUUCCAUUCCCCAACACAGAGGCAACCCUUGCUCCAUUUGCAGCCCACAGGCUGGGGCUGGGCAUGGAGCAAGUCAGUGUGGAGGAGCACAGGGUCUCCAAGCAGGGACUGGCCCUGCUCCCAGCUCAGGAGCAAAGCCUGUGAGCACCCAGUUUUGGGUUUUCCAGUCUGGGUUUUGAUCCACUGGUCUUCAAGAGACACCACUCUUCCAGUUAUGGCUCUGAAACUGGAGAGGUGUGAGGGAAGUGAUGAUGCCUGCAAGGGACAGUCAUGCAGUGGCUGGGUGAGACAUGGAAGCAGCUGGGGGUUUAGUUUUGUUACCAAAUCCCAUGUUCACCUGGGCCCUGAGGAGGUGUUAAUUGCCUGCAGGGCACAAGGUCGUGCUUGGCAUCACCCACUGCAGGCAGGGGACUUGGCAGGCAGAGAGAAGAGGGGAGGGGAGGGAGGGGAGGGGAGGGAAGCGAAGCGAAGCAAAACAAAGCGAAGUCUUUCACAGAAAACUUGAUUAUUAAUGUCAUUGUGCAACAGUGAAACUUUUAUGCAAAUUCCUAAGCAAAUAGAUCACAUCCCUGAUUUUUAACCUUGGCCAGUCUUUAAAGCUAAGUUUGUGCUACUUCUGUUACCAGAUCACAGAGCGAUAUAAGAUACGGAGCUCUCCGGCCUCCUGACAUUUUCUGUAGUCAUUUAGAUGCAAAAAUGCAGGUGAAGAUCCAGUGUGGGAGGUAUCCUGGGAGAUACUCAUUAGAGUAAAAUGGAUUAAAAGGGAAGAGCUCACAGCAGUAAGAUGAAAAUACAGCUGAAAUACAAACACGGUCCACCUAAAGCGCUGCUAGGUUUAGAAAACAAAUUACUGGGAAAAAAAAAAAGAUGCAGCCACUUAUGUAGCAGCAAUGUCAGUGUAAGACAAGGCCAGGGGCCAGUUCCUACUCUCCUUUUUCAUACAAGCAGCGCUUUUGACUUCAUCAAGCCCAGCAGCCUGAGCUGAACCGAAACCCGCAUGGUCACGCGGCAUUGCUUCCUCAUUUUGCUUUUGUGGGGAGCAGGCGCCGAGGGGGAGGCCUGGCACCAGGCAGCGUCAGCAGCUGUCAGGCAAGUGGCUGGGCCUCAUCCUCUGUGCUCACACUUAUUUUCUGCAUGGCCCUGUUUGUUCAGCCAGCUUCAGCUGUCUGACCCCACACUGCCUGCAGCACUCCACUGUGCUCAGCAAGGACCCAAGGGAACGGCAUGGAGCUGUGUCAGGAUAUGGUCAGGCUGGGUGUUAGGUUCUUCACCAGAGGGUGGUGGGCAUGGAACAGGCUGCCCAGAGCAGUGGGCACGGCCCCAAGUGUUUGGACAAUGCUUUCAGACAUAGGGUUUGGAUUUUGGAUGGUGCUGUGUGGAGCCAAGAGUUGGAUUCGGUGAUCCUAGUGAGUCCCUUCCAGCUCAGAGUAUUUGAUAAAGGAGCAAAUGGGCUUCUGCAGAGUGUGGAAGUGAAUGGUCACAGCUCUGAUCCAGUCCCUUCUCAGCCAACUGAUCCCCAAGUGUUCCUCCGGCCAGGCCGGGCAUCUUCCCCCCGGCCUUCCCCCAGGGUGUGCUUCCAGACCUGCCUGCACCUCAGUGCCAACAGACACAGCUCAGGGCACGUUCAUCAGCAUCUGUGAAGGGGUGCGUCCACAGGGCACAGCAGGGUCAGCCCACGGCCUGGCCAAGGGGAGGGAAACAAUCAUCAUGGGAUGCCUUGGGUAAAGCAAAUGAAACCGUACCACAUAAUUCAAGCAAAACAUGGGAAUUUUCAUGAGAAAUUUGAAAGCACAAACUGGAAAUUAAAAACUACUGUUAGUACAACUGCCUGCUAUUGAUCACAUUAUAGGAAACAGAUGUGAACGAGGGCUGUGGGGAAACAAAACACACACUCAACACACCAUUCAUCUCCAUUCCCCAAACACAAUUAUAACAGUAUGGGAGAUGUGCAAAGGCAGUGCAGCACCACACUGUGCUAAUAAAAUGCUGGAAAUACUUGUGGGUGUGAAGGGAGACUGGUGAGCAGAGGCAAUGUGCACAUCUUGGGGAGCCGAGGAGUACAAGCUUUGAAAAAAAACACAACACUGAGAACAGAGGAAUACUAUUUUUCUCUCCUUGAGGAGAAAAACAACCAUUAGAGUAUGAACGAAGGAACACUGCAGGGUCUGCAACUGCCCAAAUUCCCUACAGCACGUGGCACCAAAUUGUCUUAUAAUUAAAGCUGUUAUAGUUCAGAUCACAAAAUCCAAUCCUGUACUGCGCCUGUAGCAAACUUAUUGAUAGAAAAGGGCCCUAUCAAGUUUAUUCAUCCCCGUUACUCUUGUCACUGGCUAUAAGUAGCAGGACCCAUUCCUUUAGGAAGGCCAGAGCACUGCUAGGCAGAUGUAUGUUUUGCUUUUAAACAUAUGUGGAAUUACAAAAUUAAAAAAAAAAAAAAAAAAGCUGUCAGAAUUUAGUAGUUUAAAUUUCUUUUCUGUAAUGGAGAUAUAUUUUUUUCCUUCUACUGAUAAGGGAGAAACUUUAUUAAUGAGGCCUCAGUGGUAGUUACACUAUUGCCACUGCACUGGAAGAGAUGUACACAUUUUUUCCCAAGGAGGGUUUAACUGCUUUGUAGAUCCAUAAAGAUAUUUCACAGAGAAAGCUUUAUUCAAUUGGAGCUCUUAAACCUCCUUUGUGAAAUGUUGUGGUAUUUUGUGAGAUAUGUGGCCUUUGCUAUGCACGUGAUGCUGGUAGGUUUCUAGGCAUGCAAGUUCAAGGGCUUUAUUUUUCAGAUAUUUUUCAAUCAAUUAAGCUCGAUGGUAACGCUGAAUGCACUGUAGAAAGAGAGGAAGGAAAAUAAAAAUAAUGGCUGUCUGUCUCUCGCAGAACUAGCGUGGUUUGCUGCUGUUGUCUUAGCCUCGUGCCGGCAGCACAGCUCAGGCGCUAGUUUCAGUGAUCUGCAGGUUUGUGGCCCUAGAAUGCUUCUGGUGGGUUUUUGGCUUCAUUAGAAGCAUUCCUGUGAUGUGGGGGAUUCCUAUUAAAACAGUCAUCACCCUCGCAGCACCACUUGCUUCGCUACUUUUGCAUACAGACAACCGCUGAGCUACAGAAAACAGCUCUGUAUCUGCAGGGUUCUUCAUGGAGGCUUUUGCCUUAAUGUUGCAUUUCUGCAUGCUUGUACAGCCAGCCCCUAUGGGGGAGUGAACAAAAGGCCUUUUAGAGGCAAUCUUUCAGAAUGCUCCUAUUGUGCCCUUAAUUGCAUCAAAGUACACGUGGGCUGUGUGCGGACAUAGUUUUAGCUGUAGGUUGAUUUUAAGCAAGCCACACAUUUUAUACCAAAGCAAUGCAUAAAAGCAGGCACAAGAAAGAAGCUUUAAUUUAGUCACAUUGCUCCAGUAAGUAAUAAUGCAUAGCAAGCAAUAAUUGGAUGCAAGAAGUUUAGAGCAGAUGUUCCCUUUACUUUGGUUCUUGAGGCAGCGCAGUGGCAAUUUCUUCCUUUGUAACAGACAUAAAUGAUUCAGUGUUAAUAAAAAAAGUUUCAGAUGUAGAGUUCUUCAAGCACACAGCCGAGGAAUAAAACACAUGCUGCUAAAUGCAGCGCUGAUCAAGGAGGCUUUCCCCUCCCCACACUGAGAAUGUUUAGAAAGAGAUCUGAGUUUUAUCCUUAGAUGUACGGUAAUUGAUCUAAAACACUUUCUGAUAGAUGUUUUUCAUUAUUUUUCUCUCACUCAGGAGGAAUUUAUUUGUUUUCCAGAGAGGACAGGGAACACAGUGUGCUGUUAGUCCCAGUGGUGGUCACUGUCCUGGACUGGCCCCUUGUGAGAGCCCCAUGUGAGAGGUGCUGGCACUGCCCUCGUAGGCACUGAGCAAUUUCCCAGCUAUAAUGGUGACUGCAUACUUCUAACCAAAACAGGAGGCCACAGCAAACAGGGAUAGAAGAAGACAACAGUGGAAAAUGGGCUUCCCCACCAGCAACCCUAGCUGUUCUCACCACACCUUGAAAAACCUGCAGAGGUGAGGCAGGAGGUCCCAGGCUGCCCCACAUCACAGCACUGGGACAUGCACAUGGCAGAGCAGAGCUGGAAAGACUCCAGCACAGAAACCCCGUGCCAUCCCAGCUGCACAAAGUUACCAGGGGACAACUGGGAGGUACAAACAGCAGCCCAGGGAAUCUGGGUUUGGAGUGCACAGCCAUAGGGCCCCAAAACACUAGAGAAAUGCAGACUCAGAUCUGAUGAGUCUGACAAAAUUUUCCUGCCAUUGCUUUCUCUCCCGUCCCCCACCUUCAGCAGCAUUGCUAUUCUUCUCCCAGUACUCUGCAGCAUUAUGCAGGGGGAAAAUGGAUGAAGAUUUUUUCCAGAAAUGUUUUGCUUUAGCUACCAUCAAGGGAGAGUUCUGGGAUGAAGCAGAUGCAAAUUCCCCAAAACUUGUGCUUUCCCAAAACAUAAACUGCUCAGCAAAAGCCUUUGCUGGAAUAGCCAUUCCCUGACGGCCCUGCUAUCAGCUGGCCCUCUGGCUGCUUCACUUCUCUGUUGAGCUGGAGCAGCACCACAGGGACAUGGGAGAAGCAAGAAGCACAAACAUCCACAAAUGAAGUAAUGGGACUAAUGCACAAGAUGGAGCUGGCGAGAUGAAAGGACAUAAUUCACUACUCCUAGGUCUGGAGUUAGGCAAGCCGAGCUGCUUUUAGGUGAUUGCUCCUUAGGGAAGUGCUUAGGAAUUACACCCAGAAAGCAGAAAUUGAAAGCUGAUAGAGCUGUGCAGACCACACUUUUAAAGCAAGCGCAUUCCUGACUAAUACAACAGUGUGCAACAUGAGGUGACUGCUCUGUGGUGGACAUUGGCUUUGUUCAGCACAUACCCAGUAGGCCUCAGCACACCGUGUUGGGCACUUUGGGACAGGAUGUGAUAUGCAGAUCUCCUAGAGAUUUCUGAGGAAUUUGUCCACGUCUUUGAUCACUACACCUGUAUCUGUGAAUAAUUUGAUUUUAUGUAAGGCCAGAGUGGUCCAGCAGAACGCAAAAAGCUACCACAUUUAAUAGACACUGGUAGCUGAAACAUUUCCAGCUGCACGUGUAUGCUAUAUGGCACCACAAGCACUGGUUUGCUUAUCUCCACUCACGUGGAAUACGCUGGUUUAGUUCAUCUCUACCAAGCUGUACAGCAGACAGCCAAGGAGGUAGAAAAGGUACAGAAAUGAGAUUCAAAACCAAUACGUUCCCACUGAGCCACAGAGCAGGCCGAUGCUGCAAGCUGGCUUGCAACUGCACUCCAGCACACUCAACCUUUUUAUUUAGAACAAAACCAAAUGUGACACAAGUUCAUCCAUAGUUUUUGGUCCAUGGUGUAGAGGGAGGAUGGUCUGGCAGCAAGAGCAUCCAACCAGGCCCCUCACCUUCCCUCCAUCCUCCUUGCAAAGCCAGGCCUGUGUGAGUCAUAGCUGGGUGAAUGAGGCCUGGUUGCUACUGCCCCUCGGAUGAGGAGGGUGUCACAGCAGGAGUCCCAGGCUGGCCCAGGCCAUGUUUGCUAGGCAAGCAUAGCUACUGUGUGCCUGGCACACACACUCCCAUCCCCUCCCCUCAUGUGCAGGAAGGAUCGCAGGGCCAGGGCCGGGAACGUCUCGUCCUGCCAGCACAUGAACCAUCCUCCCCCGGUCUCCAGGAGGCACAAAGCGACCUCGAGCAGACGGGCUUUGUACUGAGUUCCUGCAGACAUCACCGCCUUUAUUUACUGCGGAAAAUACAGGAUGUUACAGAUGAGUGGAAAAAUGCCGACUGCCCUGCUGCCUGCAGAGCCCCUCAGACUAGAGAAUGCUUUUUUGGAAGUCGGAGGGUCUCCAGACAGGAUUAAGAAAGCACACAGUGUCUGCUUUAGCUUUCUCCUUUUCUUUUUGGCCCCGCUUGGCUGCAGCUACGCCUCCCUGCAUCCCCCAUGAGCACCUCCAUGCUUUCCCCCACAUAGGGCUUCCCACAGCCCCUCGUGCCUCACCCUGGGGGACGUUGCCAGCCUCCUUUUUGUCAGUGCUGUCCCUUUGAGAGCCUGGAAGGCCACCAGCCAGCAGCCAGGCUCCAGCGCCCUUCUGCCAGCACUGGCAGUGGCUGGGCCAGGCCCCAGCAACCCAGCGCAGCCCUCUAGUGCUGGGCGGGGGCUGAAGCUCCCCCAGCCAUGCUCAGCUUCAAGCUGCACCCACCAAACAUCUUGCUGUUUCAUAGUGCGCACCAGCACUCACAAGAUGCCAGGCUUUCCCAGUAAUUGCCAGAUAAUCUGGGCCUACAUCAAAUGCUGGUUUCAGAAAACCAGCACAUUAUUUUUUUUAACACUCCACUGUCCACAGGGUCCUUUCCUGACAUUGUUUACAUUGAUGUGGCUGGAAAGCUAAAAAGGAGCAGGAGAUCUCAUGCUCUCUUACUAGGGCAUGAGCUACUUCUGUUCUACACAGCCAAAUUGGCUUUAAUGGAGCUGCACUUAAUUUAUAUCCUCUGAAAAACCUGGCCCAAAGUGCCUUUUAAUUGAUCUCAAUUAGAAACUGUUGAUUGGCUGCCCAUAGCGUUGGUGACCACAAUGACAAGAGCUGGAGGAAAGAAAGACAGAUACUAUUUUGAAACUACAAUUCCAUUUUCUGAGCUUGGUAAAAUAGCGAGGCAGCGUAUCAAAUGACAUAAUAUUACUCAUAUGCUUAAGCACCUGGGUCCUUGAUCUUGUGCUUUAUAAAGUACUCUGAGCUGUGCUGUAAUUGCCUAUAAAUAUGCUGCUGAUCAUGCUUAAAGGGACACUUGCAAGGUUAGCAGUCCUACAGUUUGACUUAGUAAAAUGACAUCCAAAAAUAAUUUCAUUUUUGGUCUUCCUAAAUUACUGGCCUGUGUUUUCUAUCAUGCUUCUUUUCAUCAGUCCAGCUCCUAAGAUUAAUAAAGUUACCAUCUUGAGCAGGCAAGUAAAAGCACUUGGCUGUAAAACCUUUCCUCUGGUGUGAAUGAGGACGACCUCUGUUGCCCUUAUGGUUUGCAGUACAGUCACCCUGUGUCGAAGCAAAAAAGACAUCUUUAGAGAACAGAGGUGUAGGGAUCAGGCCUGGGCAAGCCUAGAGCUGCACAAGGUGCCCAUUUUCUAUCCUCUGUCAGUCAUUAGUCCUGUCCUAGCUGAGCAGAAGGGGAGGGCAAUACCAAAAUUGCAAAUGAGUCAAGGAAUAGAGCUAGGAAGUUAGGAAGGAGAUGUAGCUUCAUCACCUUCUCAGCAGUGCAGCUGGGAUGCAGGGGGCAGUGCAAUGGGGAGAUCCCAGGGACCAGUGCCCUGUUCCCAGCUGUCACCUCUGCCAGUGGCUCUGUGGUGGGAGCCCUGUGGGAAAGGAGCUGCACUGACUGCUGAGCGGUGUUUUGAGCUUAGGUACAAGUGUGGGGUUAGACUUCAUUGUCAGGACAGAAUAUAAAUGGCUAACAAAUAAAAGGUGAGUUGGUGUUUCCAUUUUAUGAAGGGCCUGAUUUGUUUCAGAGUCAAAUAACUCAGCUUCCUCCACAUAGCAGGACUCCAGCACACGAUGUACUCAUGGUGGAAACAUGUGAUUUCCUGGUAGCCAAACCCAUAGCUGCCAUCACAUGAGACAGUAUGGCUCACUGGCACAGGGCACAGUGGCUGGGACAGGGGUCUGCAGAGGGGAGAUGGAGGGAUAAACUGUGAGCAAAGGCCAUGUUGCUAGAGCCUGCACGGAUGUGCAGAAGGGCAUUUUUGGAGAGAUGUGCUCAGCCUCCCUAUUGCAUCCAGCGUGAAUCCGCCCUGAAAGUUUUGAAGACAAGGCUGUUGAGUUUCCCAAGGCAGGCUGCAGCCAGGCUUUGGAUUCCUUUCUGCUGGGGAGGUGGGAGAUUUACCGAGGCCUGGAUGCAAGGCAGCGUGUUUGCCGUGGUCAACUGCCACAGGUGUGAGUCAGUCACAGGACAGGCGUUGCCUGAACUCUAGGGACCUGAGGGAAACCCUGGCUAUGUGUAAAAGAAAACAGAAAUAGCUGAAAACCAAGCAGAGAAGGAAAGUCUCCAGAGCCUGGGAAGCAGGCACACUGGAGCAGUGGGGAGCGCCUGUGGCCAGUGGCCCCCUGGGUGCACCAGCUCCUCUUCCUCCUGACUUUUGUCCUUCAGUCACAGGAAAGAGAAGAGAGAAAAGAAAAAUGUCUUGAGCUGAAGAUCAGAGCAGACAAAAGCAACUCUAGUGUCAGCAUUUCAGUGGGUGGGAAGGCGCACCCCACGCGCCUUGUGCCCAGACAAAGGAACAGGGCAGUGCAGGGCUGUGCCUCUGGCACAGGCAGUCCUUGCAGUGUGUGUGCAUGUGAGCAGAUAAGACUUAGAGAAAGUUGUACGCUUCUAACACAAAAGAGUGCAUUUUGAGACCUAGUAAUUACAGAGAAAUUCUUGAAAGUGCAACUUGGUUAUAUUUUAAGAGUUAGAAACCAGAAUGAAUACAAAAUGAGCCCAAAGUCUGGACUUUUAAAAAUGUUAUGCUUUUUAGACAAGGUUCAUAUCUCCUGAUUUGUUUAGAGCUGACUUGAUAAUUUUAAAUGAUUGUCAUGAACAUUGUAAAACUUGCUUUAUGUUUUUGUAGGUUUAUGCCUUAGAAAUGCUUCUAAAGAAAUAAAGCCAAUCUUAAAGCUGUGGUCAGUUCUGUGUUGUGGGUAUACAGGGAGAAAGUAGCUGAGAAUGGAAUUGUAGGGGAUUACUGUGACAAUAGUUAUAUUGUUUAUUCAUGACAUACUACAAUAAUAACAGGAAAGCAAUGGCAACCUUGCAGUUAAUAAAUAUCCAGUAUCCUAUGA